rnacentral:lncRNA from 1 species
AAAAUAAUUUAAGUGUAUCGACACAUUAAUUAGAGAAUUAAAGAAAUUAUUUAUAAGUAACACAAGUUCCUUUUCUGACAACUGCUUAAUUUUAUAUGCAGUAAUUGGUAACCUAAUUCACUUAUUUGAUUAUUAGUUUAAUUUGCUUAAUGUAAUUAUUAGUUAUGUAAUUCAGUUGCCAGACUUAACUGAAAAAAAAUCAGUAACAUUAAUGUUAGUCAUUUAAAUAACAAACUAGAAAUUACAGGUUAUCCUUUAACAGUUUGAAUCAGGCAUAGAGGCUGUAAUAUGUGUAUUAUUGGCUUAUCAUUGGCUGGUGAGACAUGUGUCCAUGACAGUGUGUGACAGGAAGUUGUCUCCUUCUAGCUUAUUGGACUACAUGUUAAGUUCAAAGGCCUUUAGUAAUAUUCAUUUAUUGGCAAGAGAGCAGGUGAAGGAAAACAAUUUAGUAUGUGUGUAAACCGUAACACUCAUGAAGUACAGAUUUUUUCUGAUGCUGUCAAAGUCAUUGUUUUUUAUAGUAGUUUUUUGUUUUCUUUUUAUUAGUAGUUUUUGUUAUUUUAUAUACUCAAAAUAAGGACACCAAUCAGUAAAAAUAUGCCCAUCUUGUACCUUUUUUUUAUAGGAAGAAAUCUAACCAGCUAGCUUACCCAGGUAGUUGUCAGAUUGUCUGGAGGUGCUACCUACAAAUGUCAAUAUUUUCCCUGUUUUAAUAGAUAUGUUUAUUGUGAAUCUCUUUCAGAGUGGAUUUCAAGAAGAUGGAGAGGGUCGCAUGAAUGUUGACCUUUCUAAACAUGUAACUGCAUUUCUUCUUCAAGCCAGAGAAACGCAUCGACUGACACAGAGUGCUGUUAACCAAAUGGUGAUUGGAGUCCAGCAAUAUCAGGCCGCAUUAUUGGAGCACCUUAAACAGAAAAUGAGCAACAUGAUUGAGAGACAUUCUGGGGACCCAGUUCAACUAAAGAGUGAUGCAAUGGGGAUAUUUGACCAGUUUGUCGACCCUUUCUGUCAAAUUUCUUCCACCCAUUUGCAGGAUAAGACAAUCAAAGAACUGUUAAAACCAGUUGAACCAGAGAUUGUUGUCGCAAAACAAACAGUAUGCUAUGUGAAACAUGGAGACUCCAGAGUUCUUACCAUUAAGGACCAUUGUUUUCAUUAUAUACCGUUGGUGAAAAGUUUGGAGCAGCUGCUAUCACAUCCAAGAACAAUUGCAAUAAUUGAUGAGAGGCCACAGACAUGCAAGGAUGG